rnacentral:rRNA from 1 species
CCUACGGGUGGCAGCAGUGAGGAAUAUUGGUCAAUGGACGAGAGUCUGACCCAGCCAAGUAGCGUGAAGGAUGACUGCCCUAUGGGUUGUAAACUUCUUUUAUAAAGGAAUAAAACGAGGCACGUGUGCCUUUUUGCAUGUACUUUAUGAAUAAGGAUCGGCUAACUCCGUGCCAGCAGCCGCGGUAAUACGGAGGAUCCGAGCGUUAUCCGGAUUUAUUGGGUUUAAAGGGAGCGUAGAUGGGUUGUUAAGUCAGUUGUGAAAGUUUGCGGCUCAACCGUAAAAUGGCAAUUGAUACUGGCAGUCUUGAGUACAGUUGAGGUAGGCGGAAUUCGUGGUGUAGCGGUGAAAUGCUUAGAUAUCACGAAGAACCCCGAUUGCGAAGGCAGCUUACUAAACUGUGACUGACAUUGAUGCUCGAAAGUGUGGGUAGCAAACAGGAUUAGAUACCCGGGUAGUC